UACAGAGGGUGCGAGCGUUAAUCGGAAUUACUGGGCGUAAAGCGUGCGUAGACGGUUAUUUAAGUCGGAUGUGAAAGCCCCGGGCUCAACCUGGGAAUUGCAUUCGAGACUGAAUAGCUAGGGUACGGUAGAGGGAAGUGGAAUUUCCGGUGUAGCGGUGAAAUGCGUAGAUAUCGGAAGGAACAUCAGUGGCGAAAGCGGGUCUCUGGGCAAUUCCUGACGCUGAGGCGCGAAAGCGUGGGGAGCAAACGGG
rnacentral:rRNA from 1 species